rnacentral:lncRNA from 1 species
UUCCUAAAAAUAUGGAGAACAUGUUUUUGAAGUAAAGUUCCGAUUUUGCCCUUCUUUUUUGAAAACUCAUUUUGGGGGUCCGUUUUGACCCCGAAUCAAAAGUAGUCAAUAUGGGUGUCGUUGGUUUUGUUUUGAUGCGUAGAUUUUAUAUUUGAUAUUUCUAGUAAAGUUCGGAAUUGUUCGUAAAAGGUAAGAUUGCGGGUUCAAGUGCAGCGGACCGAUUUCGGCUUUCGAGGUAAGUUAUGAUUUAACUCUUCAGACUGGACUGGGUAGUAAAUGAUGGUGUAAAAUGCAUGUAAAGGGUUGGAAAUAAUCAUGAAAAAUAGCUAUCUACGCAUUAUGCCCGCGUGGGACCUAUAUGUG